UGAACUAAAGCUGACAAAACUGUUGCAUCAGAGAAUCACCAAAAAGCAUGGCUGAAACUGUUACACACAUAAACCACAAUCUUAAUCAUCUCAUCCUGUUUCUGCAACCAAGGAAGUCAUCAUUCAUUGUGACAUCAUGUUCGGGGACCAGGCAAAUAGAGGUGAGGUCACAACAUAGGAAAGUUGCUUGGUGUAUAAUUAGUGUGGGGAGCACAGGGGGGUGGAUUACAAUGCACAGACAAAUUCUAAUCCAUAGCCUGUAAUUUGAGGGUUGGGUCAAUCAUAAUUUGGGUGCAAGCACACCUACUUCCUUUUUUAAUAAGGGAGAAUUUAGCUCUUGUUACCCACAAGAGUUCUCAAAGUAGAAAAUAAUAAACCAUGUUCUUGAAGCCAGUACUGAAUUAUCAAAGCUGAAGGAAGGGAAGCUAAAGAAAGAUUAGGCAACUUGGGGUACAAAUGCGUUCAAAAUCCUCUCCGUCAGUAUGCCAAGUCUCUGGAUACCAGUGACUUAUUUGCCCUGGGGUGAGAGAAAACUCCAUUUUCCAUCAAGCUGGAGAAGCAGCCUUUGUUUUUCAGCCAUGGAUAAGGCCACUUAUUAGGAGGACAACAAGAAGUGAAAUCUCAGGAGGAUGCUUACCAGGAAUCAGGAAACUGGAAAAACAAUGGCCUGCUGGGACAGAUCUCCAAGCCCUAGAGGACCACAGGUGGACCAGUAAGACAACAUGACACGUAAGGCAGGAGAAUCACUUGAACCUGGAAGGCGGAGAUUGCAGUGAACUGAGAUCACACCAAUGCACUCUAGCCUGGGCAACAGAGUGAGACUCUGUCUCAAAAAAGAAAAAAAACAAAGACAAUACGACAUACCUAGAUUCUAAUUCAACACAGAAAAUGCAAAACAAAUAAAUAAAUAAAUAAAAUAAACAUAAAACCAAAUUAGGUUUGUUUACUGUAGAAUCAUUUUACUAUUGAUGGGGCCGGGCGAGGGGAAGGAAUCUAGACGUUGUCACCUCCAGUUCGUCAGUGCUAGGCUUCUAAGCACUUACAAUGUCAAAAACAACAUGCUGACAAGAUAAUGUUAAAGUUAAUAUAUUUUAAUCUAUCACUUGCCUGAUACUAUUCUAAUGAGGAGCUAAACACAACAAAAUCAGAAAAACCACCUCCUUAAAAGUUCAAACAGGUUGGGCAUGACAGCUCACUCCUAUAAUCUCAACACUUUGUGAGGCCAAGGUGAGAGGACUGCUUGACGUGCCUGGGCAGCAUAGUGAGACCCUAUUUCUACAAAAACAUUUAAAAAAUUAGCCCAGCAUGGUGGAAUGUUCCUGUGGUCCCACUACUUGGGAGGCUUAGGUGGGAGGAUCACUUGAGCCCAGAGUUUGAGGCUGCAGGGAGCUAGGAUCAAGCCUUGGAGACCCUGUAUCCAAAAACAAACAAACAACCCCACUUCAAACAUCAAACAUUUUCUGCAAGGCAGUUUUCUAUUCUAUGUGUGAAACCUUUGUUACGACUCACUGAAAAUAUGCAAAACUCCAAGCUGAGCUUAGUUUUGCCUGUGCACAGAGACCUUUUUACUCUCAUUCUUCGAAAACCUCAUUUUGGAUCUCGCUGCCAACACCAGAGAGAGGAAAGCUGGCCAACAAUUCCAAAUAUAACACGCGGAGGCAAAUGCUACAGAAAUCUGUCUGACGGGAAGGGACCAUGCUGAGGUCUGCCGAGGUAGAUGCACUUCUCUAUCAGACCAUUUUGGUCCCUCAGUCUGUUUGGAGCAAAAUGCCAUAAGAAGGUAAUCACAGGAAACCAGUCAGUUUUAUCAUCCUGAUUACUGAUGCCCCAUGGUAUUCACUCUGUCAAUGACAACAAUCCUACCAAUCUCAAACAGAAAGAUGGGUCAGUGAAAAGUAAAGCUGUACUGGUUAUUCUAAUUUUUAACAGAUUUUUUGGGAUCAGUCCAGAGACCUUUCAGAAAGCUCAACUCAUGGCAUGAUAAUUAUGAUGAAGUCAGAUUCACCAAGGGACACUUAAAAACAUAUCUCCCUCCAUGGCCGGGUGUGGUGGCUCACACCUGUAAUCCCAGCUCUUUGGGAGGCCGAGGCGGGUGGAUCAUGAGGUCAGGAGUUCGAGACCAGCCUGACCAACACGGUGAAACCCUGUCUCUACUAAAAAUACAAGAAAAUUAGCCAGGCCUGGUGGCGUGCGCCUGUAAUCCCAGCUACUCAGAAGGCUGAGAAAGGAGAAUUGCUUGAGCCCGGGAGGCGUUGCAGUGAGCUGAGAUUGCGCUACUGCACUCCAGCCUCGGUGACAGAGCAAGACUCCGUCUCAGAAAAACAAAAACAAAAACACCACACACACAUCUCUUUCCAAUUCUCUAGGGACAGGUUUAGUAACCCCUACUAUCACUCUGAAUAAUUGAUAAACCAGUUAAACUUGGAUAAAAUGAUUACACUAUCACUUAAUCAAAAAGACAUCAGUUCUUCAACCUUAAUUCUUUGGUGAGGUCACGGUACUGAGCACAAGACAAUUCAUUCCAGAGAAUCAUUACAGAAAACCCAGAAAUAGGUUCCCAGUCUAACUGGGAAGAGAUGACGUGCCUCAUACAAAGCAUUGUCUCCUGAGAAAAGACAACAAUUAAAACAGCUUAUUUGACUAGUCAUUUCCUUACUAUUUAUCUUAGAAAGAUCUCCUGUGGUUUAUAGCUGUGUUACCAAGCCCGGGAGGUAAAGUUUGCCUAGAACCACUUUUGGAACACUUGUACUGGAUUCCGUUCACAGUGAGGCAGACUGGCAAGGAAUACUAGAGACUGAAAAAAGACUUAUCCCACAGAGCUUUGGAUAGAGAACCACAGCAGCACUGCAAUUAAGACCUACAGCAUUUGCAAAAUUUAAAUUUCACUUUUUCUUUAAAUUUUGUAGAGAUGGAGUCUUGCUAUGUUGCCUAGACUGGUCUUGAACUCCUGGCCUCAGGCGAUCCUCCCACCUUGGCCCCUUUAAGUGCUGGGAUUACAGGCAUGAGCCACCAUACUCGGCUUCAACCUUACUCUUGUACUUUCCGUAUGGAAGGAAAAUUAUCAUUAUCAUGCCUACCUAAAUAAUUCAGUCUUAGCCAGUUUAAAAGGGAAGCCAGAGGAAAUAUAACCUUACUCUCACAUGAUAAAAUUAAGCAGUAAUAGGACAAUUUUUUUUUUUUCUCCUGAGAUGGGGUCUUACUCUGUCACCUAGGCUGGGGUGCAGUAGUGUGAUCUCGGCUCACUACAACCUCUGCUGCCUGGGUUCAA
rnacentral:lncRNA from 10 species